GGAAUUGACGGGGCCCGCGACAAGCGGUGGAGCAUGUGGUUUAAUUCGAUGCUACACGAAGAACCUUACCAGGGUUUGACAUGCAAGUGGUAGGAAACUGAAAGGACCGACCUUCGGGAGCUUGCACAGGUGCUGCAUGGCUGUCGUCAGCUCGUGUCGUGAGAUGUUCGGUUAAGUCCGCUAACGAGCGCAACCCUCACUGUGUGUUAUAUGUGUCACACGGGACUGCCGGUUUUAAGCCGGAGGAAGGUGGGAUGACGUCAAGUCAGCAUGGCCUUUAUAUCCUGGGCUACACACACGCUACAAUGGUCGGUACAAUAGGUUGCCAAGCCGCGAGGCGGAGCCAAUCCAAAAAAGCCGGCCUCAGUUCAGAUUGUAGGCUGCAACUCGCCUGCAUGAAGAUGGAGUUGCUAGUAACCGCAGGUCAGCAAUACUGCGGUGAAUACGUUCCCGGGUCUU
rnacentral:rRNA from 1 species